UAGCAAUACGGCAGCGGCAGACGGGAGAGUAACACGUGGGAACGCGCCCUUCGGUUCGGGAUAGCUCAGGGAAACUUGGGCUAAUACCGGAUACGCCCUUGCGGGGAAAGAUUUAUUGCCGAAGGAACGGCCCGCGUCCGAUUAGCUUGUUGGUGAGGUAACGGCUCACCAAGGCGACGAUCGGUAGCUGGUCUGAGAGGAUGACCAGCCUCACUGGGACUGAGACACGGCCCAGACUCCUACGGGAGGCAGCAGUGGGGAAUAUUGCACAAUGGGCGGAAGCCUGAUGCAGCGACGCCGCGUGAGGGAUGACGGCCUUCGGG
rnacentral:rRNA from 1 species